rnacentral:rRNA from 1 species
CCGCACAGCGGUGGAGCAUGUGGUUUAAUUCGAAGCAACGCGAAGAACCUUACCAGGUCUUGACAUCCCUCGACAACCCGAGAGAUCGGGCGUUCCCCUUCGGGGGACAGGGUGACAGGUGGUGCAUGGUUGUCGUCAGCUCGUGUCGUGAGAUGUUGGGUUAAGUCCCGCAACGAGCGCAACCCUCGACCUUAGUUGCCAGCAUUCAGUUGGGCACUCUAAGGUGACUGCCGGCUAAAAGUCGGAGGAAGGUGGGAUGACGUCAAAUCAUCAUGCCCCUUAUGACCUGGGCUACACACGUGCUACAAUGGGCGGUACAAAGGGUCGCGAACCCGCGAGGGGGAGCCAAUCCCAAAAAGCCGCUCUCAGUUCGGAUUGCAGGCUGCAACUCGCCUGCAUGAAGCCGGAAUCGCUAGUAAUCGCGGAUCAGCAUGCCGCCGGUGAACUACAUUCCCGGGCCUU